AUACGGAGGGUGCAAGCGUUACUCGGAAUCACUGGGCGUAAAGCGCGCGCAGGCGGUCUUUUAAGUUGGAUGUGAAAGCCUACGGCUCAACCGUAAAACUGCAUCCAAAACUAUUAGACUAGAGUGUGGGAGAGGAAGAUGGAAUUAGUUGUGUAGGGGUAAAAUCCGUAGAGAUAACUAGGAAUACCAAAAGCGAAGGCAAUCUUCUGGAACACUACUGACGCUGAGGCGCGAAAGCGUGGGGAGCAAACAGGAUUAGAAACCCUAGUAGUCC
rnacentral:rRNA from 1 species